rnacentral:rRNA from 1 species
UAUACAGCGAAACUGCGAAUGGCUCAUUAUAUAAGUUAUCGUUUAUUUGAUAGUGCCUUACUACUUGGAUAACCGUGGUAAUUCUAGAGCUAAUACAUGCUAAAAACCCCGACUUCGGAAGGGGUGUAUUUAUUAGAUACAAAACCAAUGCCCUUCGGGGCUCUUUGGUGAUUCAUGAUAACUAUACGAAUCGCACGGCCUUGCGCCGGCGAUGGUUCAUUCAAAUUUCUUCCCUAUCAACUUUCGAUGUUUGGGUAUUGGCCAAACAUGGUUGCAACGGGUAACGGAGGGUUAGGGCUCGACCCCGGAGAAGGAGCCUGAGAAACGGCUACUACAUCCAAGGAAGGCAGCAGGCGCGCAAAUUACCCAAUCCCGACUCGGGGAGGUAGUGACAAUAAAUACUGAUACAGGGCCCUUUCGGGCCUUGUAGUUGGAAUGAGUACAAUUUAAAUCCCUUAACGAGGAACAAUUGGAGGGCAAGUCUGGUGCCAGCAGCCGCGGUAAUUCCAGCUCCAAUAGCGUAUAU